AUUGAACGCUGGCGGCAUGCCUUACACAUGCAAGUCGAACGGCAGCACGGGAGCAAUCCUGGUGGCGAGUGGCGAACGGGUGAGUAAUAUAUCGGAACGUGCCCAGUCGUGGGGGAUAACGUAGCGAAAGCUACGCUAAUACCGCAUACUAUCUAUGGAUGAAAGCGGGGGAUCGCAAGACCUCGCGCGAUUGGAGCGGCCGAUAUCAGAUUAGGUAGUUGGUGAGGUAAAGGCUCACCAAGCCGACGAUCUGUAGCUGGUCUGAGAGGACGACCAGCCACACUGGGACUGAGACACGGCCCAGACUCCUACGGGAGGCAGCAGUGGGGAAUUUUGGACAAUGGGCGCAAGCCUGAUCCAGCAAUGCCGCGUGCAGGAUGAAGGCCUUCGGUU
rnacentral:rRNA from 1 species